GAACCGUACGAACGUUAUUCGGAAUUACUGGGCUUAAAGGGUGCGUAGGCGGCUUGGGAAAGUUGGGGUGUGAAAGCCCUCGGGCUCAACCGAGGAAUGGCGCCCAAAAACUGCCAGGCUUGAGGGAGACAGAGGUGAGUGGAACUUAGGGUGGAGCGGUGAAAUGCGUUGAUAUCCUAAGGAACACCAGUGGCGAAAGCGACUCACUGGGUCUCUUCUGACGCUGAGGCACGAAAGCUAGGGGAGCGAACGGGAUUAGAUACCCCGGUAGUCCUAGCUGUAAACGAUGAGCACUGGGUCGGAGAGCCUUCCAUAGCUUUCCGGCCGAAGCGAAAGUGUUAAGUGCUCCGCCUGGGGAGUAUGGUCGCAAAGGCUG
rnacentral:rRNA from 1 species